UACGUAGGGUGCAAGCGUUGUCCGGAAUUAUUGGGCGUAAAGAGCUCGUAGGCGGUUUGUCGCGUCUGCUGUGAAAACCCCGAGGCUCAACCUCGGGCCUGCAGUGGGUACGGGGCAGACUAGAGUGCGGUAGGGGAGAUUGGAAUUCCUGGUGUAGCGGUGGAAUGCGCAGAUAUCAGGAGGAACACCAAUGGGCGAAGGCAGAUCUCUGGGCCGUAACUGACGCUGAGGAGCGAAAGCAUGGGGGAGCGAACAGG
rnacentral:rRNA from 1 species